rnacentral:rRNA from 1 species
GUCUCGCCUGCCCACUGACUGCAUGUUAAAUGGCCGUGGUAUCUUAACCACGCGAAGGUAGCGUAAUCAUUUGUCUUUUAAAUGAAGACCUGUAUGAAUGGCAAAACGAGGGCUUAGCUGUCUCCCCUCUCCAGUCAAUGAAAUUGACCUCCCCGUGCAGAGGCGGGUAUAAACCUAUAAGACGAGAAGACCCUGUGGAGCUUUAGACCUAAAAUAAACUCACCCAAGUUCAAAAUGAACUAAACAGUGAAAAUUAUUGAUGUGUCUUUGGUUGGGGUGACCUUGGGGUAACACAAAACCCCCAUGAAGAUAGAGUAAUGCUGCUCAACACCAAGAGCUGCCCCUCUAAUUAACAGAACCUCUGACUUCAAAAUGAUCCGGCCUAGCCGAACAACGAACCAAGUUACCCCAGGGAUAACAGCGCAAUCCCCUUCCAGAGCUCUUAUCGACAAGGGGGCUUACGACCUCGAUGUUGGAUCAGGACAUCCUAAUGGUGCAGCCGCUAUUAAGGGUUCGUUUGUUCAACGAUUAACAGUCCUACGUGAUCUGAGUUCAGACCGGA